rnacentral:rRNA from 1 species
GACGAACGCUGGCGGCGUGCUUAACACAUGCAAGUCGAACGGUGAAGCGCCUUCCUUUUUGGUGGGUGUGGAUGAGUGGCGAACGGGUGAGUAACACGUGAGUAACCUGCCCCCUUCUUCUGGAUAACCGCAUGAAAGUGUGGCUAAUACGGGAUAUUCUGGGUCUGUCGCAUGAUGGGUCUGGGAAAGAUAUUGUUUCGGUGGGGGAUGGGCUCGCGGCCUAUCAGCUUGUUGGUGGGGUGAUGGCCUACCAAGGCGGUGACGGGUAGCCGGCCUGGGAGGGUGGACGGUCACACUGGGACUGAGACACGGCCCAGACUCCGACGGGAGGCAGCAGUGGGGAAUAUUGCACAGUGGGCGCAAGCCUGAUGCAGCGACGCCGCGUGAGGGAUGGAGGCCUGCGGGUUGUGAGCCUCUUUCGCCAGUGAAGCAGGCCUGCCUCGUUUGUGGGUGGGUUGACGGUAGCUGGAGAAGAAGCGCCGGCUAACUACGUG